rnacentral:miRNA from 14 species
CAAAUCAUGUACCCACACAGAAAGUCCAAAGGGACUUAGUUCUUCUGGGGGCACAUAGUUUGAA